rnacentral:SRP_RNA from 1 species
UAGUACAGAAUCUUGACCUUAAGCCUAUUAAUAGAUAUACUAUUAUUGCCGGUAUGGCUGCCCAUUGUAAGUGGUGUUGAUCUCUGGGUCUGGCGCAAUACGUGCCAGUGAAACAUGUCAGGACGGGAACGUAGCAGCAUUAAGCAGGAAUUCGUAUGUGACGCGAGGGCGCCUGGAAGUAGCUAACUGUAGUGGUAACGCAUAUCGGUUUUUUGUACAG